CUAUCAAGGUUCGGAUCAUGGGAACAUAAUUUUGCUGACAUAAUUGGGCAGGAUCCACCGUCAGCCAAACCCCCAAGUACUUUAUACGGUCGUUUGCUAUGUGAAUCCUUUAGGUGUCACCUAUGUGGGCUAUGUCCGUGUCAAUCAUGCUUAUGGGAAGUGCGCUCGAUUUAGUUAGGUUCACCUUAUAUCUGGCCAGUUCGCUGUAGGCCUCCAACACUGUCGCCAGUGCCUCCAUAGAUUUUAUC